rnacentral:tRNA from 1 species
UGUAUGUUAGCUCAGUCGGCUGGAGCGUGGCGCUAACAAGGCCAAAGAUGGGGGUUGGAUUUCCGUACAAACUG